rnacentral:rRNA from 1 species
UCUAAGCACAUGCCUUAAUAUGGUGAAGCCGCGAAUAGCUCAUUACAACAGCCAUAGUUUACUGGAAUAUCGUUAUCCUACUUGGAUAACUGUGGCAAUUCUAGAGCUAAUACAUGCAUAAAAGCUCUGCCCGAAAGGAAAGAGCGCAUUUAUUAGAAUAAAAACCAAUCGGGCUUCGGCCUGUAAUUUGGUGAAUCUGAAUAACUUUGCCAAUCGCACAGUCCUAGUACUGGCGAUGUAUCCUUCAAGUGUCUGCCUUAUCAACUUUCGAUGGUAGGUUAUACGCCUACCAUGGUAGUAACGGGUAACGGAGAAUAAGGGUUCGACUCCGGAGAGGGAGCCUGAGAAACGGCUACCACA